rnacentral:rRNA from 1 species
GAUGAACGCUGGCGGCGUGCCUAAUACAUGCAAGUCGAGCGAACAGACGCGGCGCUUGCUCCUCUGACGUUAGCGGCGGACGGGUGUAUAACACGUGGAUAACCUACUUAUCAGUCUGAGAUCACUUCGGGAAACCGGAGAUUAUCCGGUAUAAUCUCUUGCACCGCAUGGUUCAUUAGUGAAAUACGGUUUUGCUGUCACUUAUCGAUGGAUCUGCGCCGCAUUAGCUAGUUGGUAAGGUCACGGCUUACCAAGGCUACGAUGCGUAGACGACCUGAGAGGGUGAUCGCCCACAUGGGAACGGAGACACGGUCCAGGCUCCUACGGGAGGCAGCAGUAUGGAAUCUUACGCAGUGGUCGAAAGCCUGACGGAGCAACGCGGCGUGAGUUAUGAAAACCUUCGGAUCGUAAAACUCGGUUAUGAGUUAAAAACAAAUUUGUAAGGAACCAUGGACGUCUUGACGGUACCUAGUCAGAAAGCCACGGCUAACUACGUG